UACAGAGGUCUCAAGCGUUGUUCGGAUUUAUUGGGCGUAAAGAGCUCGUAGGCGGUCUGUCGCGUCGGCUGUGAAAACCCGGGGCUCAACCCCGGGCCUGCAGUCGAUACGGGCAGACUAGAGUGCGGUAGGGGAGACUGGAAUUCCUGGUGUAGCGGUGAAAUGCGCAGAUAUCAGGAGGAACACCGGUGGCGAAGGCGGAUCGUCUGGUCGGCACUAACUCUGAGGAGCGAAAGCGUGGGGAGCGAACAGG
rnacentral:rRNA from 1 species